AUCUGGGCUUAGCCACAUGGCUAAAUGUGGCCAAUGAGACCUUAGCAAGUUUAACGUAAGCAGAAGUUUGGCGCGCACUAUUAUGGAUUGAGUGUUUGUUGCUCCCCAAAGCUCAUAUGUGAAGCCCUAACACUCAAGGUAACCCUCUAGACUACAUGGGAGUCGAGAUUAUCCUCCAGUGGAGAGAGGAUAAUGGAGAAACCCUGGAAUGUGGGGUAUUAUAUGAAGAGAGUGAACAUGUAGAAGAAAACUGAAGGUUCUUUUCCUGUUUCCAACAGUCAAUAUUUCAGCCUCUUGCAAACAUAUGAGUGACGCAGCCAGCAUAACAUGAAACACAAGGCUCAUUAAGUUUACCCAAAGGAAGCACAACAAAUACUAAACCAUUGUUGUUUUAAGCCACUAAAGUUUGUGAUUUUUUUUUGUAGUUAACAAAUUGUUAACUAAAAGAAGCAACUGGCUUGAAAAUGAAGCUGUUUUGGGUAACAUACUAAUAGUUCAUUAGUGAUUACAAAUCAGGUAUAAGGUAAAAGAGAGAUGCAUUUCAUUGGGGGGUAACUGUCAAGUAGACAGUUUAUAAUUAAC
rnacentral:lncRNA from 1 species